rnacentral:rRNA from 1 species
AUGGUGGGGGUUGGAAAGCUCCGGCGGUGGUGGAUGGACUCGCGGCCUAUCAGCUUGUUGGUGGGGUAGUGGCCUACCAAGGCGGCGACGGGUAGCCGGCCUGAGAGGGUGACCGGCCACAUUGGGACUGAGAUACGGCCCAGACUCCUACGGGAGGCAGCAGUGGGGAAUAUUGCACAAUGGGCGCAAGCCUGAUGCAGCAACGCCGCGUGCGGGAUGACGGCCUUCGGGUUGUAAACCGCUUUCAGCAGGGACGAAGCUUUUUGUGACGGUACCUGCAGAAGAAGCACCGGCUAACUACGUGCCAGCAGCCGCGGUGAUACGUAGGGUGCGAGCGUUGUCCGGAUUUAUUGGGCGUAAAGGGCUCGUAGGCGGUUGAUCGCGUCGGGAGUGGAAACUUGAUGCUUAACGUUGAGCGUGCUUUCGAUACGGGUUGACUUGAGGAAGGUAGGGGAGAAUGGAAUUCCUGGUGGAGCGGUGGAAUGCGCAGAUAUCAGGAGGAGCGCCAGUGGCGAAGGCGGUUCUCUGGACCUUUCCUGACGCUGAGGAGCGAAAGCGUGGGGAGCGAACAGGCUUAGAUACCCUGGUAGUCCACGCUGUAAACGGUGGGUACUAGGUGUGGGGUCCAUUCCACGGAUUCUGUGCCGUAGCUAACGCAUUAAGUACCCCGCCUGGGGAGUACGGCCGCAAGGCUAAAACUCAAAGGAAUUGACGGGGCCCCGCACAAGCGGCGGAGCAUGCGGAUUAAUUCGAUGCAACGCGAAGAACCUUACCUGGGUUUGACAUGGAUCGGGAGCUUCCAGAGAUGGUUGUGCCUCUUUUGGGGUCGGUUCACAGGUGGUGCAUGGCUGUCGUCAGCUCGUGUCGUGAGAUGUUGGGUUAAGUCCCGCAACGAGCGCAACCCUCGUCCACUGUUGCCAGCAAUUCGGUUGGGGACUCAGUGGAGACCGCCGGGGUCAACACGGAGGAAGGUGGGGAUGACGUCAAGUCAUCAUGCCCCUUAUGUCCAGGGCUUCACGCAUGCUACAAUGGCCGGUACAGUGAGUUGCGACAUCGUAAGGUGGAGCGAAUCUCAAAAAGCCGGACUCAGUUCGGAUUGGGGUCUGCAACUCGACCUCAUGAAGUCGGAGUCGCUAGUAAUCGCAGAUCAGCAACGCUGCGGUGAAUACGUUCCCGGGGCUUGUACACACCGCCCGUCA